CGAGCGAACAGAUAAGGAGCUUGCUCCUUUGACGUUAGCGGCGGACGGGUGAGUAACACGUGGGUAACCUACCUAUAAGACUGGGAUAACUUCGGGAAACCGGAGCUAAUACCGGAUAACAUUUGGAACCGCAUGGUUCUAAAGUGAAAGAUGGUUUUGCUAUCACUUAUAGAUGGACCCGCGCCGUAUUAGCUAGUUGGUAAGGUAACGGCUUACCAAGGCGACGAUACGUAGCCGACCUGAGAGGGUGACCGGCCACACUGGAACUGAGACACGGUCCAGACUCCUACGGGAGGCAGCAGUAGGGAAUCUUCCGCAAUGGGCGAAAGCCUGACGGAGCAACGCCGCGUGAGUGAUGAAGGGUUUCGGCUCGUAAAACUCUGUUAUUAGGGAAGAACAAACGUGUAAGUAACUAUGCACGUCUUGACGGUACCUAAUCAGAAAGCCACGGCUAACUACGUGCCAGCAGCCGCGGUAAUACGUAGGUGGCAAGCGUUAUCCGGAAUUAUUGGGCGUAAAGCGCGCGUAGGCGGUUUCUUAAGUCUGAUGUGAAAGCCCACGGCUCAACCGUGGAGGGUCAUUGGAAACUGGGAAACUUGAGUGCAGAAGAGGAAAGUGGAAUUCCAUGUGUAGCGGUGAAAUGCGCAGAGAUAUGGAGGAACACCAGUGGCGAAGGCGACUUUCUGGUCUGUAACUGACGCUGAUGUGCGAAAGCGUGGGGAUCAAACAGGAUUAGAUACCCUGGUAGUCCACGCCGUAAACGAUGAGUGCUAAGUGUUAGGGGGUUUCCGCCCCUUAGUGCUGCAGCUAACGCAUUAAGCACUCCGCCUGGGGAGUACGACCGCAAGGUUGAAACUCAAAGGAAUUGACGGGGACCCGCACAAGCGGUGGAGCAUGUGGUUUAAUUCGAAG
rnacentral:rRNA from 1 species